rnacentral:rRNA from 1 species
UACGAGAGGCCCAAACGUUUAUUCGGAUUUACUGGGCUUAAAGAGUUCGUAGGCGGCUUGGAAAGUGGGGUGUGAAAGCCCUCGGCUCAACCGAGGAAUUGCGCUCCAAACUACCGAGCUUGAGUAGGCUAGAGGUGAGCAGAACUGAUGGUGGAGCGGUGAAAUGCGUUGAUAUCAUCAGGAAUACCGGAGGCGAAGGCGGCUCACUGGGACCUAACUGACGCUGAGGAACGAAAGCUAGGGGAGCAAACGGG